rnacentral:rRNA from 1 species
AUUGAACGCUGGCGGCAUGCCUUACACAUGCAAGUCGAACGGUAACGGGCCUUCGGGUGCCGACGAGUGGCGAACGGGUGAGUAAUAUAUCGGAACGUACCUUUCAGUGGGGGAUAACGUAGCGAAAGUUACGCUAAUACCGCGUAUUCUGUGCGCAGGAAAGCAGGGGACCUUCGGGCCUUGCGCUGAUUGAGCGGCCGAUAUCAGCUUAGCUAGUUGGUGAGGUAAAGGCUCACCAAGGCGACGAUCUGUAGCGGGUCUGAGAGGAUGAUCCGCCACACUGGAACUGAGACACGGUCCAGACUCCGACGGGAGGCAGCAGUGGGGAAUUUUGGACAAUGGGGGCAACCCUGAUCCAGCCAUGCCGCGUGAGUGAAGAAGGCCUUCGGGUUGUAAAGCUCUUUCGGCCGGGAAGAAAUCGUAUGGGCUAAUACCCUGUGCGGAUGACGGUACCGGCAUAAGAAGCACCGGCUAACUACGUGCCAGCCGCCGCGGUAAGAC